rnacentral:lncRNA from 1 species
AUAUAUAUAUAUAUAUAUAUAUAUAUAUAUAUAUAUAUAUAUAUAUAUAUAUAUAUAUAGUUGAGCUAGAAUAUUCUCAAAAGNUAUAUAUAUAUAUAUAGUUGAGCUAGAAUAUUCUCAAAAGUACCAAAUAAUUGAUGUUUGUGAGUUUUUAAUCCUUGGAUAGAGAAAUGUAAGAUUGAGAUGAUGGUGGUAGGUGGUGGUAGGGGGUGGUAGGUGGAAUAGUAUUUAAUCCAAAAAUUAUUAAUAAUAAAAAAAUUGAUCCAAGGGUUAAAAACCUAAAAGCACAAGAAAUAAUAUUUCUAAAAAUAUUCUAGCUUAAUUAUAUAUAUA